AGAAGAAAGAAGAGAGUCUUCUCUCUCCUUUUCUCCUUCUCUCUCCUCUCUCUCUUGUUUCUCUCUUUACCUGAAUUAUUUCUCUCUAGAAUUGUUGGACAUGGUAAGGGCAUCUCUCAGUGACUUUUGGUCGGCUCUGGUGAAGGACCCCGGUCCAUAGUCGUCGGGUAGUAUGCUAGCCCCCUCACUACGACACUGACUGAGCAUGUUUAAAUUUCAUCAUCAUCAAUCUUUAUUGAGUUAUCUAUAUUGCAGCGUGACUCUUGAGUUGACCUGUCAGACUAAUUGAAUCUGAUCAAUCCAAGCACUCGGAUGUUACUACUUGAUUAAACCUAGUAGAGGGUCCUGGUCUAGUGUCGCUACGACCAUCCGUCGUGCUAGCCUUAUCCUGACCAUCGCCGAGUACCAUUAAACUCUAUCAUAUGAAUCUCUAUUAUAUUAUUUGUACCAUGUCCUAAUUCUUGUUUCAUGAGUUGACUAGUUGGAUUGGCCAGAGCGGACCAACCCAGAUCGUCGGACGUUGUUACCUAAUC
rnacentral:lncRNA from 1 species